rnacentral:lncRNA from 1 species
AGCGGGGCGGGCAGACCGAAUGCAGUUGAGGCGGUUUGCGCGGAGGCCCUCCGGCUUCGGGGAAUGGUGUGGAAGGUUACUGCUCGAGGCCAGGAGGGAACCGGGAGCCUCGCGUUCCUGUCUAAUGGAAACUGGGCGCAGGGCUCCCUUAAGGCACAAAGGGAUGGACGCUGCCCUCGCAGCCGGAGGUGUCAGGUCUGCACCUGCUGUGGUCGACGGCGGGCUCGCGGCCAGGCCCACAGGCCCCCUCUCGCAACUGGGGCCGCCCUGUUUGGAGUGCUUAAUCCAGUUGGUAAGAGCAGGAGCCUCACUGAAUGUCUCAACCACCCGCUAUGCCCAGACCCCAGCCCACAUCGCUGCUUUUGGAGGACAUCCUCAGUGUCUGGUCUGGCUGAUUCAAGCCGGGGCCAACAUUAACAAACCGGACUGUGAGGGGGAAACUCCCAUUCACAAGGCGGCCCGCUCAGGGAGCCUCGAGUGCAUCAGUGCCCUGGUAGGCAACGGGGCUCAGACUGACUACGUAAUUCGAAUUGACUUGGUUUUUUCAAGUAAUCCUAGAAAGGGGGAGCAUUCACAUAGAAACUGCUGAAACUGCCACAGGUGCUUCUCCGAAACCUUACGGUUGUGGCAUUGAAUGUUCAGUAUGGCUUCCCUUCUGCACACAAGCAUACUGUUGAGCCUGAGAAAUGCCAGUGGCCUGACAGCAGCAGACAUUGCACCUUUUUGAUCAGGACAAUUUGGGCAUCAUUUGACCCUUAUUGUUUGCUGUAGCAUCCUGAUUACACAGCUACUCCCUGUGCAAGGAGCACCCUUACAGCAGUGUCGUGCAGACCCUGGGAAGGGGACUGUCCUUCGCCACUGACACUGCUGCAGGUGCACUCAGUGGUUGGGGUGUGAUAGCCCCUUCCCUGUAUCGACCGCUGCCUGCGUUUCCUUAGGAACAACCUCUGCCCAAGAUGGAUUAGGGUCUUGUUUUUACUCCACAUUUAUACUUGAUCUCUAGACUUUACCACAGACAGUGGUUUUCUUUAUAUACAGUGGAUGUUGCUGUUUGUAGGAGCUGUUGAGUCAGAAUACUUUACUAUGGUAAAAUAUUUACUAUUUUUUUGUUACUGUUUUUUGAGGUUUUCUGCUUAAAUAUAUAAAUAUAUAUAUCACUAUCCAGUUAAUGGAGAGAACUUGAGUUUCUCUUAUUAAAGCUGCAUUAAAUUCAUGGUUUUAUAGAAAUUAGCUUUUGUUUAGGCAACUAGUGGUUAUACUGCAGAUACCCGAUGACUUCUGAUUUUUGUAAUAAUUGAAUAACUGUCAGUGCAGAUAAAUGGAGAUGACAAAGCCAGUGUGUACUAUCAGGAGUGUAUUAUCAUUUUGUUUUCAAGCUGUUCUUUACAAAUGGAAUAAAAAAGAAAGCUCACUGCU